AUUGAACGCUGGCGGCAGGCCUAACACAUGCAAGUCGAGCGAGCGGCGGACGGGUGAGUAAUGUAUGGGGACUGCCCGCUAGAGGGGGGAAAAUACUGGAAACGGUAGCUAAUACCGCCUACUGUCGGAUAACCGAUAUGGGUUUAGCUAGUAGGUGAGGUAAUGGCUCACCUAGGCGACGAUCCCUAGCUGGUCUGAGAGGAUGAUCAGCCACACUGGGACUGAGACACGGCCCAGACUCCUACGGAGGCAGCAGUGGGGAAUAUUGGACAAUGGGCGCAAGCCUGACGCAGCCAUGCCGCGGGGAUGAAGAAGGCCCUAGGGUUGUAAAGUACUUUCAGUCGGGAGGCGUUACCGACAGAAUAAGCACCGGCUAACUACGUGCCAGCAGCCGCGGUAAUUC
rnacentral:rRNA from 1 species